UCUAAGAACCCACAAGGUGAUGCGAAUUCCAUAAUGAAACUUUGAAACCCACUGUUAAUUUGAAGUUUCAACUUCCCAAGAAAGUUUUAAACAGAUUUAAGACCAACAAAACCUUGAUCCAAUGCUUAAGAAAACAUGAACCAAAGGUAUAUAGAAUGAUAUUGACGCCACACUCAAGAAAUAGAUGAGAAGAUGAGUGAUAAUUCUAAAUUUAGAACGCCACAAGAAUGCAAAUUCUUGAUAAGUUCACUAGUUCUCAAAAGAUCCAAAGAAAGAAUAAUCUUUCAAAUUCAAAUAACAUUAAUCUCUAAUUUUUUUAUAUAGUAAGGUUACUGAGUUUAAAUAGACCAAUAGAAACGCAAGAUCCUAAAAAUACAAAUGAAAAUAUUGAAACAACCUUCUAAGUAUAAGUUUGUCAAAGGAUGCUUCAAAAGUCUUCACCAAUCCACCAUAAUUAAUGUUAUAUUUGACAAACUUAAUGCUAACUUACUAUAAUUAAUACUAUUAUUGACAAACUUAAUUUUAGUCCACCAUCAUUGAUGGUAGACUUACCUUACACAUUGGCAAACUUAAAACAAAACAAACAAAUGAAGUUGAAAAACAAAGUAGUCGUUGAAAAUCUCAAGUCUGAACAAGCUGUAAUGAAUUGGUCAUAACUCCUUUUAGAGAACUCCAAAUCUAGCUCUGUAAAAUGCAUUGGAAAGCUAACUUAAUUAUAUUUCCAACGGUAUAUAGCUUGCACAUUACUUAUGGCUCAAUCAAUGACAGUUUUAUUCCAAAUUUGACAUUUCUGCAUUUGAUCCAAAUUGUGUAUUUGGUUGCCCAAUAGCUUGAAUAAUGCCCACAAUGCCUUGUCUUCUCUUUAAGCCCAAUUCAUGAUGUCUUGCAUCUUGAAUUGCAUUUUCAAUCCAUAUUUUCUCAAUUAAUCCAUUUAAAGCAGCUUGUAUCUUUUUAGUUUUAGCUCUUGUAAUUGGGCCUCAAUGAAUGUGCAAAGGAUCACUUGAAUCUUUAAUGAUAUUCCCUUAAUGGUUCUCAUAACAAGAAUUGAGGGUAGGUUUAGUAAUUGUUAACAUUCACUAAACAAAUAUUUUUAGAAAAAUAAAAAAACUUGAUGUGGGUUGUGGGUGAACUUAGUAAUUUUUUUUUUUUUUCGGAUACGGGGUGGUGCCCAUUACCAUCCUUAUUUAGCGUUCCCUAAUCUAAGUGAAUUUACAAAAUGGAACAAUAGAAAAUUGAUUAAUAAUGUAUGGAAAAGUAUUUGGUGAAUUCGAUUCUCCGGUACAUUCCUCUAAUUUUCAAACCCUUAUACGCGUCGUGAUUUUCUUUUUUUCCCUCUAUAAAAUUUACUUGUUAACCCGUUAACAAGUAAUUUUUCAUAACUCUUUCAUCAGGUUGCCCACCUUUUGUUUAAUACAUUCAUUUGACAGUUGCACCUGUACUGCAUUUCAACUUAACUUCGUUCCCAUCCGUUGGAUUUGAAAAUCACGUAUCUAACGAUCCAUAAUGGCAGGCUGUUUGUUACAGAAAAUUUAAUAUAGGCGCUGCCUAAAAAUGAGUAAUUUUUAAAAACCUCCCCUGAGGUUUGGGCUUGUUGCAAUUAGAUGGCGAGAAUUGAUUUAUUUGUAAAAAACCCCCUACCGUCAGUUAAGUUUAACAUUGACCGUUAGUUAACCGUGCAAAGACAAUAUUACCCUUAACAAUAGUUUAUAAACGAAAAUAACUAAAAAAAAUCAAAAUUAUUAGCUAUUUUACACUUUUUAAAUUAUUGAUAUUUUCUUAAAGUUCUUAUAAAAAAUUAAAAUUAAAAAAUUAAAAAAUCCUCUUUAAAUUAUUGAUAUUUCCUUAAAAUUCCUACAAGAAAGAUAAAAUUAAAAAUUUAAAAAUGAAAUAGUCAUAAUCUUUACCUAUGAUAUUGUAAAUUUUUAGAAUUGACAAGGAUAAAAUUGUCAAAAAAUAGGGUUUGUGCUUUUUGCACCAAUAAUUUUAGUUUUUUUUUAGUUAUUUUCGUUUAUAAACUAUUGUUAAGGGUAAUAUUAUUUUUGCACGGUCAACUAACGGUCAAUGUUAAACUUAACUGACGGUAGAAAAUUUUUUACAAAUAAAUCAAUUCUCACAAUCUACUUGCAACAAGCCCAAACCUCAGGGGAGGUUUUUAAAAAUUACUCGCCUAAAAAUGGAAACAAGUCAUAUGUCAUAAACAAACUGCACAUCAAAAAAAA
rnacentral:lncRNA from 1 species